ensembl:lncRNA
CAGGUGUUUCCGUCUCCCCUCACCUGUCUUUGUGCCUGUCUCCACCCCCCACCAGGUGUCUCCAUCUCCCCUCACCUGUCUUUGUGCCUGUCUCCACCCCCCACCAGGUGUCUCCGUCUCCCCUCACCUGUCUUUGUGCUUGUCUCCACCCCCCACCAGGUGUCUCCGUCUCCCCUCACCUGUCUUUGUGCCUGUCUCCACCCCCCACCAGGUGUCUCCAUCUCCCCUCACCUGUCUUUGUGCUGGUCUCCACCCCCACCAGGUGUCUCCGUCUCCCCUCACCUGUCUUUGUGCUUGUCUCCACCCCC